rnacentral:rRNA from 1 species
GGUUGAUCCUGCCAGUAGUCAUAUGCUUGUCUCAAAGAUUAAGCCAUGCAUGUCUAAGUAUAAACUGCUUAUACUGUGAAACUGCGAAUGGCUCAUUAAAUCAGUUAUAGUUUAUUUGAUGGUACCUUCUACUCGGAUAACCGUAGUAAUUCUAGAGCUAAUACGUGCGUAAAACCCGACUUCUGGAAGGGUCGUAUAUAUUAGAUAAAAGGCCGACCGAGCUUUGCUCGACCCGCGGUGAAUCAUGAUAUCUUCACGAAUCGCACGGCCUUGUGCCGGCGAUGUUUCAUUCA